AUUGAACGCUGGCGGCAUGCCUUACACAUGCAAGUCGAACGGCAGCACGGGGGCAACCCUGGUGGCGAGUGGCGAACGGGUGAGUAAUACAUCGGAACGUGUCCUGUAGUGGGGGAUAGCCCGGCGAAAGCCGGAUUAAUACCGCAUACGACCUAAGGGAGAAAGCGGGGGAUCUUCGGACCUUGCGCUAUAGGGGCGGCCGAUGGCAGAUUAGCUAGUUGGUGGGGUAAAGGCCUACCAAGGCGACGAUCUGUAGCUGGUCUGAGAGGACGACCAGCCACACUGGGACUGAGACACGGCCCAGACUCCUACGGGAGGCAGCAGUGGGGAAUUUUGGACAAUGGGCGAAAGCCUGAUCCAGCAAUGCCGCGUGUGUGAAGAAGGCCUUCGGGUUGUAAAGCACUUUUGUCCGGAAAGAAAACUUCCUGGUUAAUACCUGGGGAGGAUGACG
rnacentral:rRNA from 1 species